CAAACUGAAGAUGGCGACCGGCGCACGGGUGAGUAACACGUAUCCAACCUGCCGAUAACUCCGGAAUAGCCUUUCGAAAGAAAGAUUAAUACCGGAUAGUAUACGAAUAUCGCAUGAUAUUUUUAUUAAAGAAUUUCGGUUAUCGAUGGGGAUGCGUUCCAUUAGUUUGUUGGCGGGGUAACGGCCCACCAAGACUACGAUGGAUAGGGGUCCUGAGAGGAAGGUCCCCCACAUUGGAACUGAGACACGGUCCAA
rnacentral:rRNA from 1 species